UACGUAGGGUGCAAGCGUUGUCCGGAAUUAUUGGGCGUAAAGAGCUCGUAGGCGGUCUGUCGCGUCUGCUGUGAAAACUCAGGGCUUAACCCUGAGCUUGCAGUGGGUACGGGCAGACUAGAGUGCGGUAGGGGAGACUGGAAUUCCUGGUGUAGCGGUGAAAUGCGCAGAUAUCAGGAGGAACACCGGUGGCGAAGGCGGGUCUCUGGGCCAAUACUGACGCUGAGGAGCGAAAGCGUGGGGAGCAAACAGG
rnacentral:rRNA from 1 species